AAGGCUUAUGAUAUAUCGAUCAAAAUAUGUGCCUUGGAGCUAGGCCAAGGAUCAUGGAUGGCUAAGAGGGUUAUGCCGAGGAGAGGACGGCUUGAUGUAUUUAUCAUCUGAUCGAAGAUAUUUACUUGAUGGGGCAGACUUGGAUGUCGAUAUCGUGGCAGUGCUCAAUGUGUGAGUAGGCUGUGGACCUAAGAUGUUGGAUGGUGUGGUCAUGUAUCCCCAAGAUCGUGGUAAUGCACAGCGAUGGGCGAGUAGGCCAUGAAUAUUGUCAAGCGAUAUGGCCAGAGAUGGAAAGGCAUAUCAAGGAUGCAAGAUCGGGAUCGUGGCACAAGAGCUUGUAGGGGAAGCUUGGAUAGUCGAACCCCAGGAGACUCAGAUGUGUACGAUCAUCUGUAGCUUCGAGGAGCUACAGGGCAUGUCUGCUUGUUAGUUUAGCUAGGCGGCACUAGAGGUAGGUUUGCCUGAGCCUCAUGCAUAGUAGUGGUGUUGUAUGGUCGUGCUGUGUGGAUUUAGUAUGCGUAGUAUUGAAGGGCAGCUUGGUGGGUUGC
rnacentral:lncRNA from 1 species